UUUUUUUUUUUUUUUUGUUUGAUACUUCAAUUUUAAAUUUUUUGUAAUUUCACUCGUAACUACAUUCUUCUCUUUCAAAUGACACAAUUCUGUCAAAGGUGUUAAUAAUUUUUUACGGUACAAAUUAUAUAAAUUGUUGCUUAUUAAACUUUAGCCCAAGAGUAUCGGUUUUAAUGUCGUAUCCUCCGCAGGUUUGACGAACGAGUUAACCAACUUUAUAAUUGAAAAUGUGCUUUUUAAUUUGUGUCGUUUAGGACUUCUUUUUUUAAAUUAAACAACAUUAAGAAACACUGUUGACGAUUGCUAGUUUUAUUGUUUGACGUCGAGAUAAAGAAAAAUCUACGUUUUGUAUAUUUUAUGGAUAACAGAUGCAGUGUUCGCAACGUUGUUUCCUCAUUGAAUAAUAUCUUCGUAUUUUGUACAAAAUGUAAAACAUGCAUUUCCUGACAAGGCUCUGCAUCAUGGAAUUUUAAGCGCUAUUAUAUAUAUAGAGAGAGAGAGAAAAA